GGUUGCGGACAGUGUCUGGUGGGUAGUUUGACUGGGGCGGUCUCCUCCUAAAGAGUAACGGAGGAGCACGAAGGUUGGCUAAUCCUGGUCGGACAUCAGGAGGUUAGUGCAAUGGCAUAAGCCAGCUUGACUGCGAGCGUGACGGCGCGAGCAGGUGCGAAAGCAGGUCAUAGUGAUCCGGUGGUUCUGAAUGGAAGGGCCAUCGCUCAACGGAUAAAAGGUACUCCGGGGAUAACAGGCUGAUACCGCCCAAGAGUUCAUAUCGACGGCGGUGUUUGGCACCUCGAUGUCGGCUCAUCACAUCCUGGGGCUGAAGUAGGUCCCAAGGGUAUGGCUGUUCGCCAUUUAAAGUGGUACGCGAGCUGGGUUUAGAACGUCGUGAGACAGUUCGGUCCCUAUCUGCCGUGGGCGCUGGAGAACUGAGGGGGGCUGCUCCUAGUACGAGAGGACCGGAGUGGACGCAUCACUGGUGUUCGGGUUGUCAUGCCAAUGGCACUGCCCGGUAGCUAAAUGCGGAAGAGAUAAGUGCUGAAAGCAUCUAAGCACGAAACUUGCCCCG
rnacentral:rRNA from 1 species